rnacentral:rRNA from 1 species
UACGGGGGGGGCAAGCGUUGUUCGGAAUUACUGGGCGUAAAGGGCUCGUAGGCGGCCAACUAAGUCAAACGUGAAAGCCCUCGGCUUAACCGAGGAACUGCCUGUCAGACUGGAUGGCUUGAGACCGGGAGAGGUGAGUGGAAUUCCCAGUGUAGCGGUGAAAUGCGUAGAUAUUGGGAGGAACACCAGUGGCGAAGGCGGCUCACUGGACCGGAACUGACGCUGAGGCGCGAAAGCGUGGGGAGCAAACAGG